AAUAAAAUGGCUGAAAUAUAAGCGAUAAAUUGUAAAUUUAUUUAUGGGGGAAUCUCUUUUAUUA
rnacentral:tRNA from 2 species